GACGAACGCUGGCGGCGUGCCUAAUACAUGCAAGUAGGACGCAGUUGCGAACGGGUGAGUAACGCGUAGGUAACUACCUAUUAGAGGGGGAUAACUAUUGGAAACGAUAGCUAAUACCGCAUACUAGUAGAUGGACCUGCGUUGUAUUAGCUAGUCGGUAGGGUAAAGGCCUACCUAGGCAACGAUACAUAGCCGAGCUGGAAGGGAGAACGGCCACACUGGGACUUGGGAACGGCCCAGACUCCUACGGGAGGCAGCAGUAGGGAAUCAUCGGAAAUGGGGGGAACCCUGACGAAGCAACGCCGCGUGAGGGAAGGAGGUUUUCGGAUCGUAAAGCUCUGUUGUUAAGGAAGCGGUACUUAACCAGAAAGGGACGGCUAACUACGUGCCAGCAGCCGCGGUAAUAC
rnacentral:rRNA from 1 species